GAUUUGAGAUCGAACGUUCAAAAGUUGUCCUCGCUGGGGAGAGACGUUUAUGAGCCCCAAUGAACCUUCAUCGCUGAGGGUUACCUGACGGACAACCGCGAGCGUAGAUAGUUAUCACACCCGUGACGCCGCCAAACACUGGCAAGCUGAUUCAUUUGAGAGGAGCUGGCCACAAGGCCAGCAAACCCCCAAAGUCCAAGCUCAUCAUGGAAGACCAUGAGAGUUGAGGUGUUCAUGAUACUCAAACAGGCAUGCUCCGAGGAAUAACCAAGGGGCGCAAGGUGCGUUCAAAGAUUCGAUGAUUCACUGAAUUCUGCAAUUCACAUUACUUAUCGCAUUUCGCUGCGUUCUUCAUCGAUGCGAGAGCCAAGAGAUCCGUUGCUGAAAGUUGUAUUGUAUUGCGUUAAACGCGAAAAAACAUUCCAUGAGACAUCGCUACGGUGUGUGUGUAAAGACGUAGAGCUACGGAAGGAAGACAAUGUCUCCCGGUCCACAGAACUACAGAGGGUGCACAGGUGUGAGUGGAUGUGUAAACAGAGCGUGCACAUGCCCCGUUCGGGGGCCAGCAACAACCCGUGUUUGACAAUUCGGUAAUGAUCCUUCC
rnacentral:misc_RNA from 1 species